rnacentral:rRNA from 1 species
AUUGAACGCUGGCGGCAGGCCUAACACAUGCAAGUCGAGCGGAUGGGCGGACGGGUGCGUAAUGCCUAGGAAUCUGCCUGGUAGUGGGGGAUCACGUCCGCAAACGGGAGCUAAUACCACAACCUAUCCAAUGCGCCUAGGUCGGAUUGGCUAGUGGGUGGGGUAAAGGCCUACCAAGGCGACGAUCCGUAACUGGUCUGAGAGGAUGAUCAGUCACACUGGAACUGAGACACGGACCAGACUCCUACGGGAGGCAGCAGUGGGGAAUAUUGGACAAUGGGAGAAAGCCUGAUCCAGCCAUGCCGCGUGUGUGAAGAAGGUCUUCGGAUUGUAAAGUACUUUAAGUUGGGAGGCGUUACCAACAGAAUAAGCACCGGCUAACUUCGUGCCAGCAGCCGCGGUAAUAC